AGCGAACGCUGGCGGCAGGCUUAACACAUGCAAGUCGAGCGGGCGUAGCAAUACGUCAGCGGCAGACGGGUGAGUAACGCGUGGGAACAUACCUUUUGGUUCAGAACAACACAGGGAAACUUGUGCUAAUACCGGAUAAGCCCUUACGGGGAAAGAUUUAUCGCCGAAAGAUUGGCCCGCGUCUGAUUAGCUAGUUGGUGAGGUAACGGCUCACCAAGGCGACGAUCAGUAGCNGGUCUGAGAGGAUGAUCAGCCACAUUGGGACUGAGACACGGCCCAAACUCCUACGGGAGGCAGCAGUGGGGAAUAUUGGACAAUGGGCGCAAGCCUGAUCCAGCCAUGCCGCGUGAGUGAUGAAGGCCCUAGGGUUGUAAGCUCUUUUGUGGCGGGAAGAUAAUGACGGUACCGCAAGAAUAACGCCCCGGCUAACUUCGUGCCAGCAGCCGCUGUAAC
rnacentral:rRNA from 1 species